CUUCCCCAACGGGCGUCGCUCCCCCUCCGGGCGCCGCUCCACCUGACCGCUCCGUCAGUGGCCUGCGCGGGGCAGCUCCCUCCUAGGCGCAUUGCUAGGCUGGCUCCGCCAGUCGAGGGCGACGAUCCCCUCCACCUGGCCGGCUGGCCGUGCCGUCCGCCUGGCUGCUCCGGCGAGCGCCUAGGCCUCACAUCUCUGUCCGGGCGCGCGCAAGGUGUGGGCUGGCUCCGCCUGCCAUCUGCUCUGUCCUUGGGCGCUACUUGAAUAUAGCUCUCAUCUCUGCAGGCCACCUGUUCGACUAAAUGCAAGGCCACGCAAAGUGCCUCUUCUUUUGCAGCACGCGCAAGAAGACGAUUCAAACUUGAAAAACCAUGAUGGCUGUGUUUAGUUGCCCCAAAGUGCAAAAUCUAAAAAAAGAUUCUCCGUCACAUCAAACUUACGGUACAUAUAUGGAGUACUAAAUAUAGAUAAAAUCAAAAACUAAUUGUACAGUUUGGUUCUAAUUUGCGAGAUAAACGUUUUGAGCCUAAUUAGUCAAUGAUUGGACAAUAAUUAAUAAAUACAAACGAAAAUGCUACAGUAUACUACACUGUAUUUUGGCACUCCAAAAUGGAGAACUAAACACAGCCGAUGUCAAUUGCUCGUAGAGCUGCCCUGCCAUUCUACAGCACACACAGUCUUACCUGCCCUCUUACAUGGUGCAUCUAAACGACCUUUACCAUGCCCAGCCCACCCAGAUGAGGAACUCGACAUAGACUCCAGCCUGUGAGCCCCACAAUGCCCAGCGAAUCAACUAUCGCUGUGUUCGUUUGGCUGUGCCUGAUUGAUGGUGCUGAUUUAUUAUGAUAGAAUAACACUGUUGACUGGCUGGUGGCUGGUGCUGAUUUAGUAUGAAAGAAUAGUACUGCUGGUUGGUUGGCUGACAAGCCAAGCGAACACAGCGUAUGUCUCCUUCCCAUGCUCACAAUAAAAAUAAAAUUUCAGACUUACUGAUAUAUAAAACACCUAUGCCUUUGUCCAUUUCUAUUCUCUGUUGUCUUUGCAUCCUAACAUUGACCCUUCUCUGCUAAUUUUCCUUGAUGUAAUUAAUUGAUUUGUAAAAAAUGAAAUAAAAGAAAAUAAAUUUGUAGCUCCUCAAUCUACGGCUUCAGUGCACUUGGAUAAAUAAUAUAUUACAGUAUACUUGGAUUUCUUAUGUACAUCGGUUACAUAAUUUAUGUCAUUAUCAUCUGUAUUAGUAUAACAAUGCAAAUAGUAAUUAUAUAUUUUAAUAUGAACAAACAGGAGAGGAUCCAAAGCGGGAAGAUAGAAGUUUUGUAAAGACAAGAAGGGGCAAACCAUUUCACUAAAAGAAAAAAGGAUGACGAAGACUUGAAAGAAAAUCAAGACCUCCUUGGAUAAUCGAAGAGACAGAGAAUAUAAGCUAUUUGUUAACAGAGACAAACGACAACGUGAGAACAAUCUUUUGAACAGAAGUGCCUUCUAAUGGUGUUCUGUUAAAUAUAUAGUGCUCCAUUCUGAUGGUUCUAAUAAAUAGAACCAUCCUUUUGAAAUAUUUCAUACCUUUCUAUAUUGCAAGGCCCAAAUAUGUACUUUUGACUAGAUCCUACAGACUAUAAGAACUGUGAAACACAUAUGUAUAUUUUUA